GGCCUAACACAUGCAAGUCGAACGGCAGCGCGGGGCAACCUGGCGGCGAGUGGCGAACGGGUGAGUAAUAUAUCGGAACGUACCCUGGAGUGGGGGAUAACGUAGCGAAAGUUACGCUAAUACCGCAUACGAUCUAAGGAUGAAAGUGGGGGAUUCGCAAGAACCUCAUGCUCCUGGAGCGGCCGAUAUCUGAUUAGCUAGUUGGUAAGGUAAAAGCCUACCAAGGCUUCGAUCAGUAGCUGGUCUGAGAGGACGACCAGCCACACUGGAACUGAGACACGGUCCAGACUCCUACGGGAGGCAGCAGUGGGGAAUUUUGGACAAUGGGCGAAAGCCUGAUCCAGCCAUGCCGCGUGCAGGAUGAAGGCCUUCGGGUUGUAAACUGCUUUUGUACGGAACGAAACGGCCUUUUCUAAUAAAGAUGGCUAAUGACGGUACCGUAAGAAUAAGCACCGGCUAACUACGUGCCAGCAGCCGCGGUAAUACGUAGGGUGCAAGCGUUAAUCGGAAUUACUGGGCGUAAAGCGUGCGCAGGCGGUUAUGUAAGACAGUUGUGAAAUCCCCGGGCUCAACCUGGGAACUGCAUCUGUGACUGCAUAGCUAGAGUACGGUAGAGGGGGAUGGAAUUCCGCGUGUAGCAGUGAAAUGCGUAGAUAUGCGGAGGAACACCGAUGGCGAAGGCAAUCCCCUGGACCUGUACUGACGCUCAUGCACGAAAGCGUGGGGAGCAAACAGGAUUAGAUACCCUGGUAGUCCACGCCCUAAACGAUNGUCACUGGUUGUUGGGUCUUCACUGACUCAGUAACGAAGCUAACGCGUGAAGUUGACCGCCUGGGGAGUACGGCCGCAAGGUUGAAACUCAAAGGGAAUGACGGGGACCCGCACAAGCG
rnacentral:rRNA from 1 species